UACAGAGGUCCCAAGCGUUGUUCGGAAUUACUGGGCGUAAAGGGUGCGCAGGCGGUUCUGCAAGUCAGGCGUGAAAUCCCCGGGCUUAACCUGGGAAUGGCGCUUGAAACUACGGGACUGGAGUAUGGCAGAGGGAGGUGGAAUUCCACGUGUAGCGGUGAAAUGCGUAGAGAUGUGGAGGAACACCGAUGGCGAAGGCAGCCUCCUGGGCCAAAACUGACGCUCAUGCACGAAAGCGUGGGGAGCAAACAGG
rnacentral:rRNA from 1 species